UACGUAGGGUCCGAGCGUUGUCCGGAAUUACUGGGCGUAAAGAGCUCGUAGGUGGUUUGUCGCGUUGUUCGUGAAAACUCACAGCUCAACUGUGGGCGUGCGGGCGAUACGGGCAGACUGGAGUACUGCAGGGGAGACUGGAAUUCCUGGUGUAGCGGUGGAAUGCGCAGAUAUCAGGAGGAACACCGGUGGCGAAGGCGGGUCUCUGGGCAGUAACUGACGCUGAGGCGCGAAAGCGUGGGGAUCAAACAGG
rnacentral:rRNA from 1 species